GGUGACUUCAGGAGGCUUUAGCUGAGACCGUCAUGCCCGGGGGAGGCAGCGUUAGCUCCAUCUCCUCCCGGUGGAACGGGCAGAAUGGCAGAGGUCCUUGCCAUAAUGGUAUUGAUGGAGAAGCCACUUAGGAUACCAUUGUUGUUAUUCUUCACCUCCAGCAAGGCAGCCAAAAUUGUGUCUUAAGUAGAACUUUGAUCUGGUUGCGUAGCGCCCUGAUUUGGAACCGACCGCUCUCGUUGGAGACUCCAGUACACGAGAUCGAGCCAGGAGACCAGGUCUACGUUCGUGAUUGGAGCGAGGAACCACUAAAGGAAUGGUGGAAUGGGCCAUACCUGGUGCUGUUAACUACCUUCACCGCUGUAAAAGUGGAAGGAAUUGACUCCUGGAUUCACUACACUAGAGUGAAGAAAGUUCCGAAACAUUGGGAAUCAGAGGCCUUAGGACCUACGAAGCUGAGACUGAAAUGCAGAUAAGAUGUCGUGUUAUAUAUAUAGCACUUUAAUUGUGAUCUGGUCAGUCUUACCUGUAAUGAUUGUUGGUUUCUUAGAAGUUUCAUUGAAAAGGGAGGUGGUGACGUAUGUUAUUGGACAAAAUGCCACUCUGUCUUGCAGGUUUAAAAAUACCAUUCCAAUGGGAAGGGAACUAAUAAGGGUCCUCUGGGAAAAGGUACCGGAAAACUUUGAAGUACCUGACAUAUUUUUUGACAACGAGGACAAAGGAUUAGUAGGGCGUGAGCAGGAGUUGCAGGGGAAUUGGCAAUUCAGAGGUAAAGUAAUGAACAGAUUCUGUUCACGAAAUCCUACUGAAGGAGAGACUAAAUUAAGGAUAGUCAAUCUGACUGAACAAAUGCGGGGAAAAUACCGUUGUCUGGUCAAGACAAAUAAUAGUGCAGACUAGGGUGAGAAGAUAAUACACAUUUUAGAUUCCACUCGAAAUUUUGGAAUUAAAGCAGGAUAUACCCAUUAUCCAACCCCCCCAGGCAGUGACGUUCUGAUUUAUUGCCGUCUAGAAAAUCCCCAGCCCAAAGAAUAUACAUGGAUGAAAGAUGGAAAGAAAAUCCUGGACAAUGAUAAACAUAAUACAGAACUACAUCUGGGAGGGAUAUUAACACAUUUGAUAAAACGGAUAGACAAGACAGAUUUAGGAACCUACAGGUGCCAGUACAGGAAUGAAACUGCAUUUGGAUAUAGUGAAAUUGAUGUUACUAAAACUAGAGUCAGACGAGCCAUAGAACCAACCAAAUUACCCCAGAUAAUUCAGGUACCCCAACGUGAUCCAGAGGAAAACCUAAUGAUAGGAUUAAUCAAGGAUUUCGCAAAAAUGCAAAAUACGAGUAGAAUAACGGCAUGCCUCCCAAUACCAAAAGCAGCUGGAGAACCAAUUGAGUGGGGAAUAAUAACAAUACCAUUUCCAGAAGGAAACAAGACAGUUAAGUGUCAGGAAAAGGGGAUAAUAAAGGACGUAACAAAAACGGAAUAUGUCAGGAAAGGGCUCAUGGGCCCUGUAUCAAAGUCAUGGUGUGAACAGCAAUUAAACUUUCAAUUCACACAGAAAGGACCGGGAAUAGGUGAAUGUAUAUAUGAUGAAGAAAUUAAAACAAAAACACAGGUAAAAGAAAUAACCUGGGAUUGUCAAGUAAAGAACAAUUCGGGACAAAGUUGGGAUACAAUUUGGUCACUGAGCAUUGCACAAAAAUUUCGGUAUGGUGGAAAUACAUCUUGGUGUCUCAGGUGGACAGGGAAAUAUAGUAUAGCAGGAGAUAUAAACAUAUUGUCGUACAUAGGAUGGGACAAAGUCUGGUUAGAUACUGUUAAAAAUGUUCCUUGAUGGAAUUGCACCAGGAUAAUAGAUUGCGAUACUGAUCCGGAAAAGAUUGCAAUGCCCCCAGUUAGAAUUGCUUUAAAAGCAGGAUGUGCAUGCCGAGGAUUUAACGAUACCAGCCCCGGCUGAUGGAACAGACUGCAGAUAUUCGAUGAUACAUAGCAUGGGACAUCUUGUUUGGGCACUCAGUGAUGGUACCUGGACCACCCACCUUCCAAUAGCAGGGCCAGUGCGGGAAAUUACCUUGGGACUCCCCACUUUGUGUCCAAUCUGGAAACGUUCCCCGUUCAGGGGCAAUCUAGAAACGUUGCAGAUUCUAACGAAGAGAAGUAUUGACGAUGAUAUAGACAAUAUAGAUGACACUUGGCAAGAGCCUGAGACAGGAGUGAAAGUAGGAUGGGCACUUGAAUCCCUUUUUGCUCAAAUAGCCGCAUAUCGUAAUAGGGAAAUGAUUUAUAAUUUAAUUGGACAAACUGAGAGAUUGGCCAAAGUGACUAAAAAAGGCUUUAGGGAUCUAAAUUUGCAAUUACAGGCAACAACCAAAAUGACUCUGCAAAACAGAAUGGCAUUAGACACAUUAUUGUUAAAAGAACAUGGUGUUUGUGGAUAUCUCAAAGAUAGAAUCGAUCACUGCUGUGUACAUAUACCAAAUGUAACUACAGAUAUAGAAUAUGACAUUGCUCAAUUAGGGAAAAUUGAAAAGGAAGCUGAAAAGGAAGAAGAAGAAAUAAGUCAUAAUUGGGUAGGAGCAUUAUUUGAUGGAUUGGGAAUCCACCUUACUGGAUGGAUUCAUUCCCUCAUAGAAACAGUGUUUACCCUAUUACUUGUGUCCCUCGCAAUUUACUUAGUAUAUUUCUGUAUUCGAAGAGAAAUAACCCGGAAUACCAGCUGGACACAUAAAAUCAUUGGAGCAGUGACUCGAGAAUAUCCACGACACCCAAUAACUCCUCCUACCUAUCAGGAAACUACUACAUGAGUGAAAAUACUUGCAAAAGAUGAAGUAUUUUCAAAGGGGGGAAAUGUUAGAAAUCAUACCGUUUGAUCAACUAGAAGUUUGAUUAGAUUUCAAUCAGCAAUAUAUAUAUAUAUAGAGAGAGAGAGAGUAUUUAGACUUGUGAUCAGUUGAUUUGUAUUAUGUUACUAGGUCAGAGAAGCCUGGUAACUAGGAUAUGGACAUAGAUGUACGAGACUAUCCAAGCGAUAUCCCUAUAAGGUGAUGGUCUGGUAGAAACAGUACUCUACAGAUUACUUUAAAGUAGAACUUUUAAGAUAAGAAGCAAAGUUGCAUACCAGUACCAGUCAAGGAGAGAUAAAAGAGUGCUGGUGCAAGCGCGAUCGUUGGGACUUAUCCAGAACUCUGAAAGGUGAAAAGGACAUAGCGAGGAAGACGUCUUACUUCAUCUGAGGAAGACUAUUUACUUCAUCCUGACG